CUGCGCUCAAACGCUCCCCUGCGUGUCGGGAUCCAGUGCUGCCUUCAGGUGCUGCCGUAAUCGAGAGGUUUGUUUGCGCUGCGUCCGGGAAGCGGCAACUAAGUGACACAGGGGCGGUCUGUGUUCAGAGGUGUGUGUUCAGAGGUCUGUGUUCAGAAGUGUGUGUUCAGAGGUCUUCGACUGCGGAGGUGUGACGCUCGGUGGGUGGAGAUCACGAACAUACAGUCAUGCUGUCCCUCAUAUUCGUGUUUGAUAAAUGACUUUCCAAAUGUGGCUUUCAUUUUGAUAUUUUAGUAGCUAUAGAUCUCAGGGAUAAAAUAGCAUUUUAUUAUAGCCUCCACAUACAAAUAAUUAUGAAAUUCUGAUCAACAAUAUUCAGGACGAAGGAGAAAAGUUCAAAAGAAGAAGAACUAAGAGUUAAGAAACUUUCAGACGGAAAGUUAAAAAGGCUUCUUUCAGCUAUUGUGGUUCCUUAGGCUGGGCUAUGAGAUGACAACGAUGACAAUAAAAAUUCCAUGAAUGCUGGACAGAAUAUUCUAACGCACUGAGCUGAUUGUUCGAUUGCUGCGGCUCUUCAAGCACUGGCUGUGUUAUGGGAGACAGCCCUUCGCCUGCUUCAUUGGAUUUAUCUUUGAACAGCGAACGCUGACACUUUGGAAACUGUGUAUAAUAAAUACACUGUUAGAUAAAUACACGGUUAAAUUGCAUUUGAAACAGUUCGUUUUAAUAAGGUGGCAUGAGCAGACUUAGAAAGAUUUGAAGUGGGGGCACAGGGGGUGAGGGGGUGUCAGACUGGGGCACAGUUUUAGAAAAGGGGGGAAACAUUUGUUAAAUGAGUAAAAAGCAUGGCCAGGAUUACAUUUAAGGCAAUAAACUCUGGACAUCAUUAAUAGUAACGUUCUGUACUCGUCAUUCAGUGCUGAUAUUUGUAACUGCAGACAGCCUGCAGCUGCGGGCAGAUUAUGAGAUCAUGGUCAUUUUUUUGUCUCUUCGUGGUCAUUAUGUGUCCUUGUGGUUAUUUUGUGAUACGUGUGUUUCAAAAAGAAAUUCAAGCUAA